CAGGCUGGCGGUCCGACGCCUGUCGGUUACUGCCUGCUCCUGACCUACCUCCCGGUUUUUCGCCCUUGGUGCUCUUGACUGAGUGUCUCGGGUGGCCGGAACGUUUACUUUGAAAAAAUUAGAGUGUUCAAAGCAGGCAAUAUCGCCUGAAUAAUGGUGCAUGGAAUAAUGGAAUAGGACCUCGGUUCUAUUUUGCUGGUUUUCGGAGCUCGAGGUAAUGAUUAAGAGGGACUGACGGGGGCAUUCGUAUUACGGUGUUAGAGGUGAAAUUCUUGGAUCGCCGUAAGACGAACUACUGCGAAAGCAUUUGCCAAGCAUGKUUUCAUUAGUCAAGAACGAAAGUCAGAGGUUCGAAGACGAUCAGAUACCGUCGUARUUCUGACCAUAAACGAUGCCAACUAGCGAUCCGCCGGAGUUGCUUCAAUGACUCGGCAGGCAGCCCCCGGGAAACCAAAGUUUU
rnacentral:rRNA from 1 species